rnacentral:misc_RNA from 1 species
GGUUGGAUCAUUAUAAAAUGAACUUUUAGGCCCAGCUCAUGCUUUGCAUUUGUAGCUGGUCUAAACUUAACCUUUGUGCACUGAAAAUCGUAUCUGGGUCGUGCUGUUUGCCUUCCCAACCAUAUAAACCAUUUCUUUUUAUUUUUUGUCUGAUUUUUGUAUUCUAACGAAUCAAAUACAACUUUUAACAACGGAUCUCUUGGCUCUCGCAACGAUGAAGAACGCAGCGAAAUGCGAUACGUAAUGUGAAUUGCAGAAUUCCGUGAAUCAUCGAAUCUUUGAACGCACAUUGCACUCUAUUUCGGUAGAGUAUGCCUGUUUGAGAACCUAUAAAACAUUUUCUAUGGUUAUUGCUGUCUUUAUUGGCAGCAGUAGUCCCUAGAGAGAUUUGAGACUUUGCACUAAAACUGCAUGUCUUUAAAACUAUUGCUGCUUUGACUAUAGAAGUGUUUGAUGUUUCUAUCAACUGCGGAAAUGUAUGUGUAUGAAACUUUUGUUUCUCAUUAUGCAAAGUACUCGGUCUAGAUUCGUAGUUUCUAUAGGACUUGGUACUCACUUAUUAGAGUCUUGGCGAGUUAUUCACCAAGACUUCAACCAUGGUCUCAAAUCAGGUAGGAAUACCCGCUGAACUUAAGCAUAUCAAUAAGCGGAGGAAAAGAAACUAACAAGGAUUCCCCUAGUAACGGCGAGUGAAGCGGGAACAGCUCAAAUUUGAAAUCUCACAGGUUCCCUGUGCGAAUUGUAGUUUAGAGAUGCGUUUUCUGAGUCGGCCUCAGUACAAGUUCUUUGGAACGAGACAUCAUAGAGGGUGAAAAUCCCGUCUUUGACUGAGUGUUCGAUUCUUUGUGAUACGUAUUCCAAGAGUCGGUUUGUUUGGGAAUGCAGACCAAAAUGGGUGGUAAAUACCAUCUAAAGCUAAAUAUUGGCGAGAGACCGAUAGCGAACAAGUACCGUGAGGGAAAGAUGAAAAGAACUUUGAAAAGAGAGUUAAAUAGUACGUGAAAUUGUUAAAAGGGAAACGUUUGAAACCAGUAUUGCUGGCAGAAAUUCAGCUGUAGUUUACUGCAGUGUAUUUUUCUGUCUGCAGGUCAGCAUCAGUUUAGUGCAGAGUAAAAAGCUGCUGGAAGGUAGCCUCUCGGGGUGUUAUAGCCAGUAGUCAUGCUUUGUAUCAGACUGAGGACUGCAGCAUGUGUCGGUGCUAGUUGCCUCUGGAAUUGCUGCUUCUAACUGCUUGCAGAUAGUUGUGGUAGCAAAGAGCUCGGCUGGUUCCCUAUCAUGUUAUGGAUGCUGACGAAAUGGUUUUAAGCGACCCGUCUUGAAACACGGACCAAGGAGUCUAACAUAUAUGCGAGUAUUUGAGUGGAAAACUCUUAUGCGUAAUGAAAGUGAAAAGGUGGGAUCCUGUAAAGGUGCACCAUCGACCGCGCCAGAUUAUUACUAUCUCGGCGUGAGUAUGAGCAUACAUGCUGGGACCCGAAAGAUGGUGAACUAUGCCUGAAUAGGGUGAAGCCAGAGGAAACUCUGGUGGAGGCUCGUAGCGGUUCUGACGUGCAAAUCGAUCGUCAAAUUUGGGUAUAGGGGCGAAAGACUAAUCGAACCAUCUAGUAGCUGGUUCCCUC